rnacentral:misc_RNA from 1 species
AAGUCGUAACAAGGUUUCCGUAGGUGAACCUGCGGAAGGAUCAUUAACACAAUACUUUCUAUUAUCAAUAACCUUUGUGCACUGUCGGAGCCUUCUUUAACGUGGGGUCGACUAGAUCAUGGUUGGAAUGCGGUCUAGCCUGCUGUCAAGUUUCCCCGUCAUUCAUUCUUCUUCUUAUGAGGAAGGGUGUCUAGGCGAUCGGUUUAACGCCCCGUUUUCGAAGGUGAAACAGCCUCAACCAUGGCUGUGCCCUAUUUUUUUUUUAACCUCUUGAUUUUUGUACUGAUUUGGGCUGUUGUUGAUUGAGAGGAGCAAUCCUUUCUCAUUUCAGCUUGUGUUGAAUGCUUGUCAUUCUAUCACUAACCAAAACACAACUCUUAACAGUGGAUAUCUCGGUUCUC